GGGCUAUGCUACAAAACCUAUCAAGACUACUGAAUUAACUGAAAAAUGCAGAAGUUAAGUGAAUGAUAUUUACAUGUGCUAGCUCCAAAUGAAUGACAGACGAAACAACAGGGUUGGAAUUGACCUUGUAACUAUGUCGGUGCUGCUAAUGCUCAUCAUCGGUUUCUUGUUUCUUGACCAAAGACCAGUUGGUUUGCACACUACUUUCAUAUCCACUGCUAUCACCUGAUUCAAUUACACGCUUGUCCAUUACCCUCUCUUUAGCACCGUCACGAUAUAAACGACCACCAUGCUCCCUUGAAGCCCGUCGCUCAUCACGAAAGGGAAAGUCAUCAGCUUCAAGCAUGUGUAUUACUUGUCCCAUUUUUGGUCUCUUCUGAGCAUUGGGAUCAACACAGCGUAAUGCUACCAAAAGAACACGUUUAAGGGCUCUUGAAGAGGGCUUCUCAGGUAUCUUGGGAUCCACAACACCCUCGGCAUUCCGGUUUGAAACCAUUAUUUUAAGCCAAUCAACCAGAGUUACCUCUCCAGGAGGACGGCUGUAAUCCACC
rnacentral:misc_RNA from 1 species